rnacentral:lncRNA from 1 species
CUCCAAUAUUCUAUAUUUUCCAUAACUUGACCGUAAAUUUGCAAAAUACAAUCAAACUUGAAGAAUGGACACAUACGGGCAGUAUUAACUUGGUGGUGGUGCACCAAAGCCACCAGCUCCACGUCCAAAGCCAGGUCUUCUACCCUGUGAAAUUAGAACAGCAAGACAGGUUAAGCACAACAAACUUGUCUUAUUUAGUUCUGUAGUGUACAAAUCUGGAUUGACAUAUAAAUGGACAAGAUUAUGCACAUCCUGAGCUUUACAAAAAACAUAAACAUAAAAGGUGCCAAUCAACAAAAUAACAGAACUAAGAACAAAAAGUCUGCACCUGUCCUAAUUUCUUCUCUUUUCUCUUCUCACAUUACCCAUUUCACUCAUUCCCCAACAAAAAUAAAAUUCAGCAAUUUAUAAGAACACGAGGUGAAUUCGAAAAAACCAUAAGAGUAACUUACGGAAGUAUAAAGAAAUUUGCAAUCAAUAGGAUUUACCUAAUCCUCCCUCUUCUUGAGAGGAAGAUUGAAAUACCUUUUUCUUUCCACCAGGACCUGGAGAUUAGAUCUAAUCGUAAGAAGAAUGCUCAGUAUAAAUAACUCACUUCUUGGUCUUCAAUACCCCUCAAUCACUAUUAACGCACCCGAUCACUGCAAUUUCAUGUGUCUGCUUGUAUCUCUUGACUAGAAUGGGAGUAGGUUUGAAAAAGAGUAAAUUUAAAGGUUGCUCACCCAACUUUAGUAUAUAUUACUACUUGCUCACUCAUCAACAAAACAUAACUCAUUGCUCAUCCAUCUAUUCACUUGCUUACCCAUUGAUCACCCAUCUCAUCUCCGUCAACCUAAACUAAUGGAAUGUGCCACGUGGCGAACGAAAAUCCCACGUGGCACAUGUGUUAAACGAAAUCAAAUACACAAUCCCAUGUGGCACAUGAAAUGGCAACAAUAGUCAUCUUCUCCUUUCCGUCUCUCUGCGAGUCUUCGACCAUGGAGUUCCUCCAUGAAUAUGACAGUAGACCCAGAUUCCAAUUCCAAUCAAAGACAUUACCCAAAUCCUCUAACGCCAUCGAAUCCGACACAAACCAUCCUUCUAUUCAUGGGACUGCCAUUUUCUUUUCCCUCUUUCUUUUCAUAUCCAUUUUCAGUCUUGCAUUCAUUUAACAAUGUAACUCCAGAAAAAGCAAACUUCAUGAUUUCUUUUUCCACAAUUACACUCGCUAGAACAUUCUCUAUUGUCUCACUAAAAUUAGUACAAAUAAUCCGUGUGCCAGAUAUCCAUGUCUGCCUUGGUCCAG